rnacentral:tRNA from 1 species
GGGCGCAUAGCUCAGCUGGGAGAGCACUUGCCUUACAAGCAAGGGGUCACAGGUUCGAACCCUGUUGUGCCCACCA